CGGGGAGUGGCGCAGCUUGGAAGCGUACCUGCUUUGGGAGCAGGGGGCCGCGGGUUCAAAUCCCGCCUCCCCGA
rnacentral:tRNA from 1 species